rnacentral:rRNA from 1 species
UACGGAGGAUGCGAGCGUUAUCCGGAUUUAUUAGGUUUAAAGGGUACGUAGGCGGCUUGAUAAGUCAGGGGUGAAAUCUUAUGGCUCAACCAUAAAAUUGCCUUUGAAACUGCCAAGCUUGAGUAAUGAUAGGGCAGGCGGAAUAAGUAGAGUAGCGGUGAAAUGCAUAGAUACUACUUAGAACACCGAUAGCGAAGGCAGCCUGCCGGGCAUUAACUGACGCUGAUGUACGAAAGCGUGGGUAGCGAACAGG